AUGAAGAGUAAUGAGCCCUAUCCUUUGGCCUGCACAGAGCAAAGCCCUGAGCAAACCUUUGGAAUGAAGACCAGUGCCAUGCCAGAAGGCAAUUCACAUAUAAAAGAUAAGACAUGGACACUUUGGAAGGUUCUUUCCAAGAGAGGGCCUAUGUUGCUGCCACUACCAUCCAGUGAAAGGCUGAGCUGUGACUCCUACACAUCACUUUCCUCCUCCUAGUCAUUCUCAGCAAGAUGAACCUCUGGUGAAGUAUGCUGAAGUUUACCUGAAGAAGACUUGAGCUGAAUUUUUCUACCUGACCCUACUGUCCUAAUAAGGGCUUCUCCAGAGUCCUGUAAUAUCCUGGGAAUUUUGUUGAUGGCUGAAAGAUUAUAAACUGUCUUUCCUAAGUUUUAUAUUGUAAUAAAAAUUUUAUAUUGUCAGUGACUCA
rnacentral:lncRNA from 1 species